CACGGCUCCACAUGCCUGCAAAUAGGUACUCCACGAUGACCUCUAAUAUAGUGGAAUCCGUCAACUUAGUCACAAAAGCAGCGAAUAACUAUCCUAUUAUAGCGUUGUUGGAUUCAUUGCGACAACAAUACAAUUUUGGUUUUGUAAGAACAGAUACACUGUAUAUGGCACAUUCACAAAGUUGUCCACCAAGUACGAGAAAAUGAUAAGAGAAAUGAGCACAUCUUUGAGGAACAUGAGGGUGACGAUCAUAUUUGUUACAUCACGUCAUAUACAUAUAUAUGUGACUUGGUGGAAUAUCCAGUAUGUAAGAUGUGUGACCUGACAUUAUCAUUUUCUUUGUUCACAGGUAUCUCCAGUAAACCAAACAAUAUUUUCGAUUGCUGGUGAGGGAUCAUCAUUUGUCAUUGAUAUAGAGAAACGAACGUGCACAUGUCGGAUGUUUCAAGUUGAUCAGAUGCCAUAUCCACAUGCAUUGAUUGUAAUAGCAACAACUAAACGAGACGCGUACGAUUAUUGUUCGUACUUCUACACCGGUGAAGCGUACAUGAAUACAUACCAAUACACAGUAUACCUAGUGGGAAGUCCAAAUGAAUGGAUUAUGCCCCCGAAAGUUGAAGACGUAAUUGUCCUGGUACCUAAUCAGAAAUGGAGCUCAGGCAGACCAGCUGAAAAGAGGAGAAGAUCGUGCAUUGAGGAGAAACAAAUGGUGAAAUGGGACGUUGUGAAGGUAGUGGUCACAAUCGCGGGACAUGCAACAACUUGCUUCCAUUAGCGAAAAAAUAAUGUGAAAUGUUAACGGUAUCGACAUUUUAGCGUUCAUUACUUUGGUUCGUUAGG
rnacentral:lncRNA from 1 species